rnacentral:lncRNA from 1 species
GCUCUUGGAGACGGGGGCAGAUCAAAUCUCCCUCUCUGUGCCAGCCAGUUCCCUGCCUUCCCCUCAGGGCGAUUCUCCCGCCCUCUCCCACUCUGUUCCCACUUCAGUCAUCUGCUUUGCACCUGCUGGUCAGGAGAAAAAAAAAAAAACAACACUACGGAGUCUCAGGUUAACGUCUUUCUCCAUAUUUAUUAACCGUCACUUUCAGUUUUGGAUGUAGGCUCCAGUCUGAAAGAGUUACAUGUUCUAGCCCUUGUAGUUACUAUCAUCUGUUCACCUAACAGUUACCUGCCUAAACCUUAACUUUUCCUAUUCUGCCUCCCACGCAGAGUGAAGGAAUCACACGCCGACGAUCCUGCUCCAGGCUUUGGCCAGUGGAAAUGUCACAAAAAUGAGUCUCCUGCCUUGACUUUAAAAGGACAAGGUCCCUUGAGGCACUCCAAGAUGUUUUCUACCAAAGGUAAUGUGGAGGAUCCUUUCACUGAAAGUAAAGAUGGAGUCUCACUCUCGUCG